rnacentral:lncRNA from 1 species
GCAUGUACUGUGAUGGGAGAUCCUCAGCUAAACUGGGAGAACCAUGAGUCGGGAAAUCUGUGCCCAGCACAGGACUUGAGGUGGUAAGGACGAUAUAAUUAUACAUCUAUCAACCAGGUAAGAGUCUAAACGCAUCCAGGGUGGUAGGUGAUUCUUUCUCAUGUUGGUGUCCUCUAUGCUAAUAGACACAGGCAUGAAACAUGUUAACGGCCUCAUGCAAAGACUUGAGCUCAUAUUUUUGAGGAUUUUAAAUAAUAUUGCAAUAUUAAAGAUAUAAAUAUAUAUAUAUAAUGAAUAAUAAAUACCCCUCCCUUUAAGAAAUAAAACAUUACCAAUAUAGUUGAAGCCUUCUGUUUCCUUCCCUUGAUGGCA